CAGUCUAUUCUCCCAGGUUUCCUUUUAGGGAGGCGCCUUGGUAUGGUUUGGUUGUUAAGGAUACCGCCGCGACGGAGAAGAGGCCACCCCGCGGAGGAGGGAGGUGCGGGUGAAGAGGGGAUGGGGCGGCGCUGCGGAGAAGAGGCGAGAGGCUGUCGGGGGACGGCGGCCGGCGAUGCUCGGUCCGAGGUCCCAGUACGAAUUCCCCUACCUGAUGGGUCUCGAGCUCUUUACCCACGUCAGCGUUCCUAAGGCUGGCCCUGUCCGGUACUACGACACCUUUACGGAGAUGCCCUUGUUGCAGACCCGCGUAACGGUGCUGCUCGACCGACCGAACUUGUUCCUGAACUCCUUUUACUAUUCACUAGUACGACUAGAGUUCCGUAAUUGACAAUUUCUGUAAUAAUGACGUAGCCUACCUUGGGCUUUCUAUGACAAGAGAGAACUUCUACGGAGACACUAACUUUGUCAACAGUAAGGAUCGCGGUCCCCGGCCUGUUGCCAGACACAAAGUUCAGUUCACCCGACACGGUACUUAACAGUCAAAACGAAGUGACCCUCCUACCCAAACUCUUUCGUAAACAGAUGUCGACUCUAUCAACUCGUCCGACACAAACGAGCAUUCGAUAAAAGUCUACUUAAACCAAGAUAAUGUUUACAACAUAAAUACCCGUACCCGCUCGGCAACGUGUUGCAUCUAUUGCAUUAUUUUCGUAGUAGAUAUUACCAACUACUCGUCCCGGAAGUCAAAUCAGGAGCGUUCCAAUGACAUAGGUGUUCACCAGAGCAAGGUCUCUAUUUUGCGAAAGAGUUACUUAGGUUAACACUAGACCGGCACUCAGAAUUACGUUGUUGACUACUCCAAUCCUUAACCUAUUACGGGUAAUUGUCUUCCAUGUUAGAAUCGUGCGAAGAACCGUGAAAUUCCCUCCUUGAAGCAAACUCUGGAUUCAGGUAUCACGAUAAACUUAUGCAGUACGAACGACCUCACUUACUGUCGUGCCUACUACGCUUCUCCGAAUACCUCGACCAAGUGCCAUAAGGGACGUUCUAGUUGGAUUAGAGAAAGUUAGGGGUAUCACCCAGUGUUAAGUUCGGCUGCGGGCUACUCUCGUAAUAGCUCAAGGCGUUGUACAAUUAGGUUAGGCCGGAAUGGCAAUACCAAGCCGAUUCGUCUCCGCUACUGGUCUACCGACGGACGCCCGUCGAUCCUCGCGGACCACUGAUAGUCGAUGGCGACGAGGCACAAGGACUCUUUAAAGUCCAGCGGAAUACUUCGAUUUAUGCAUCACGAGCAUGCCAUCAUUUUGUCUACGGACCCUUGUUGAAGUCCUUCUGUUCCGUCAUUAUACGCACAUUACUCCUAUUUUGGUGCGACUAAGAAAGUCCAGUUCGUAGAAAGACUCGGUCGGAAUGCUGGCAGCUCGUAAAAGACUUAAAACUACCGUUCACGACUUGUCAACUAGACACGACUAACAUUGGGUACAAGACUAAUUAUAUGUAGAGAGCAAAAGAACGUCUUUAUUCUUGUAAACCAGUCGUUUCUUGGACGUAGAAAAAGACAAACUACGUCCCUGCCGAUCCAUAGUUUAUUUCUGCUCUGCGUGGAGACCUAGCCGUACGAGGUUCGUUGAAACUCAUCUGCGUACUGUAGGCCCGUAGAGUGUAUCGAAGACUGCGCCAGACUCAGCGGUUUCAGCUAACACAACGUCCAUCAUCAAGGUUUUCUGAGCUUAGAUGAGUCGAUAACGACCAGUACAACCUAAUCUACUACGUCCUUGCUGUCUUUCUGUUCUUUUCCCGGAUGCACGUACGAAACGGAACGAACUCUAUGGAAUUGGCAAUUCCACACGGUGGUGGACUGGACUGGUGGGAUGAAUCUUUUCUUUUCUUUUCCCGUUUCACUAGAUUGUGUUCUGGGUGGUUGGUUACGCGGAAGAAAGGUUUUCGUUAACGUAAUGUUCUGGCGUGGUUACCCCUAAACCCGCGGAAAUCGUGAUAUUAGACGACGGUUUUACCUCAUCGCCGGAUGUGGACGAAGGAACGAAAUCACAUCUAUCUUCUAACGAACGAACCUAAAACUGUAGGGUCUGUUUCCUUAAGA
rnacentral:rRNA from 1 species